rnacentral:rRNA from 1 species
UACGGAGGGUGCAAGCGUUAUCCGGAUUCACUGGGUUUAAAGGGUGCGUAGGUGGUUUUGUAAGUCAGUGGUGAAAGCCCGGAGCUCAACUCCGGAACUGCCAUUGAUACUGCUUAACUUGAAUCAAGUAGAGGUGGAUGGAAUAAUACAUGUAGCGGUGAAAUGCUUAGAUAUGUAUUAAAACACCAAUUACAAAAACAAUUCACUAUACUUAUAUUAACACUGAGGCACGAAAGCGUGGGGAUCAAACAGG